rnacentral:rRNA from 1 species
AAUCAACGCUGGCGGCGUGCCUCAGACAUGCAAGUCGAACGAUUAAACUUUCCUUCGGGAAAGAUAUAAAGUGGCGCACGGGUGAGUAACACGUAGGUAAUGUACCUUUGGGUGGGGAAUAACCAUCGGAAACGAUGGCUAAUACCGCAUAAUGCAGCGGCAUCGCAAGAUGACAGUUGUUAAAGCGAGCAAUCGCGCCUAAAGAGCAGCCUGCGGCAGAUUAGGAGUUGGUAAGGUAAUGGCUUACCAAGCCUGCGAUCUGUAACCGACCUGAGA